AACGAACGCUGGCGGCAGGCUUAACACAUGCAAGUCGAACGCCCCGCAAGGGGAGUGGCAGACGGGUGAGUAACACGUGGGAACGUGCCCUAAGGUUUGGAGUAUUCCCGGGAAACUGGGAGCAAUACCAAAUGUGUCCGUAAGGAGAAAGAUUUAUCGCCUUAGGAUCGGCCCGCGUCAGAUUAGGUGGUUGGUGGGGUAAUGGCCUACCAAGCCGACGAUCUGUAGCUGGUCUGAGAGGACGACCAGCCACACUGGGACUGAGACACGGCCCAGACUCCUACGGGAGGCAGCAGUGGGGAAUCUUGGACAAUGGGCGCAAGCCUGAUCCAGCCAUGCCGCGUGGAUGAUGAAGGCCCUAGGGUUGUAAAAUCCUUUCGUUGGGGACGAUAAUGACGGUACCCAAAGAAGAAGCUCCGGCUAACUUCGUGCCAGCAGCCGCCGUAA
rnacentral:rRNA from 1 species